rnacentral:pre_miRNA from 1 species
UUUUUAGUAAAAAUAUGUCCCAUGCAAUAAGUGGGACAUACUUAUACUAAAA